GAUGAACGCUGGCGGCGUGCCUAAUACAUGCAAGUCGAGCGAAGCGGGGACGGGUGAGUAACACGUGGAUAACCUCCUAUAAGACUGGGAUAACUUCGGGAAACCGGAGCUAAACCGGAUACUUAUACAUGGAUCUGCGCUGCAUUAGCUAGUGUGAAAGGUAACGGCUUACAAAGGCAACGAUGCAUAGCCGACCUGAGAGGAUGAUCGACCACACUGGAACGAGGACGCGGUCCAGCCUCCUGCGGGAGGCAGCAGUAGGGAAUCUUCCGCAGUGGGCGAAAGCCUGACGGAGCAACACCGCGUGAGUGAUGAAGGUCUUCGGAUCGUAAAACUCUGUUAUUAGGGAAGCGGUACCUAAUCAGAAAGCCACGGCUAACUACGUGCCAGCAGCCGCGGUAAUUC
rnacentral:rRNA from 1 species